AGAUUCAGAGUCAUGAAGCCACCUUUUGAGGAACUUCUUGGACCAUGUAUUUGGAGCAGUAUCUCCCAACUCUUUCAGCUGCUAUACCCUUGAAACUGGGAGCCAUAGAAAAGGCAGUGUUCAAUUCUGAAUUAUUUUUGGACUUGCAGUUGUUGUUACACAUGUUUUUCCACCCAAUAUUCUCAUCAAGAUUAUCAGUGAUGAAGUAUUUCUGAAAAGAGUGUUUCAGUCUCUGGGGCUUUUUCCUAAGCCACUGACAUCCAUUCUGCAAGUUCAGCGGAACAUGUUCAGUGCCCGUGUAUAAACUCCCCACACAUCAUCGGGAGCAGUCUCCCUCCAAUAGGCUUACAUGAAUGCAGUUCAAGAACUUGGGCUUUUUGGUAUAGAGAGUCUAGCAAUGUUCUUGAAGAUUUGGAAAUUGUUUACAUUCCAAGAAAAAUGCCAUCCUGUCUUGGAGGUGUUUAAGUAAGUAUUGGGGAAUUCAAGUCAGUAUUUUACUGUAUUAGUAUUCUUUCUUAGCACUGUUAGACAAGCCAAAUCAUAAUUUUCUUUUGAAAUAAACGUGCAGUCAGUGUAUACUUGAAAACAUGCAAUCAAAAGGAGUGGUCAGAAAACUUAAGAAGAAUAGAAACUUUUUAAUUAUUGUUUUUCAGUAAUUAAAAAAAUUUUUCCUUUAAUUUUCAAAAAAAUUAAAGGAAAGGGAAUAAUUGCCCUGGGAAAAAAGAAUGGUUGGGUCUUUUUAUUUCUUUCCUUCUUUUUCGAGUUUGCCAUAUUUAUUUGCUGCAAAUGGCAUGCAAUUGUGCAUAAACAUUAAUAUUAUCCACUUUGUUUCCUCUUAAUAAUACAGGGAAGCCUCAGCUUAAUCUCUCACUCAUUUCAUGCCUAAAGCACAAGUGUAUUGCUUUUGUUUUACUACAUGUUUCAUUCCAUCUGUUGGGAGCCUAGUAAGUCAAUAUUUAUCACAUUUAUAGAUUCUGAAUCACUAGGGGAAAAAAUCACUUCUGGGAAAAAACAUGCAUCAAUCGUUCUCGACUAUUUUAAAGUUUAAAAGUGUUGUCUCUGUGAUGUUAACUUUGGUAUUUUGAGCUAAACUAAUGCAGCUUGCAUUAUUUUUUAAUUAAAGCAAUUUUAAACUACAUGUUUUCAAAGUUUUCCAUUUUCCCCAAACCUCUCUGUAAUUGCCUUGUCAUGAUUAUCAUUUUCCUUUCACUGUUGCUUUCUAUGGAAGCCCCAGGAAAGAGUUACUAAAAAUUAAAUUUCAUGCUUGCAUGUGUUUCUGUGAUCUGCAGCGUGUAUGAUCUCUGAGUGGAAAACUUCUCUGAAAAUAAAUGGAUUACCCUUUUUACUACACUGUCUGAUGUCUCUUCAGCAGAUAGCAUUGCUUCCCUGUGAUCUCUAACCCACCACAAUUGAAAUGACAAGCGUUGAAAUGGGGGCCUCACGGUGGCGCCCUCUGCCUUUGCCGGCCCUUUCUGCAGCUCGGAGCGGUUCACGCCUCAGAGCACCGGUUCUCAAACUUGAAUAAUGCCUGGACCCCCUUGGGAAGGAUAGAAUCAUCUUCAGAAACCCCACAACACAUCAGUGGAAUCCACUUUGAGAAAUGCUGACCUAAAAACUAGAAUCCUAUUCUAUUAAAAUGGCUUACAUUUGAGAAUUAUCACUGCAAAGAAAAGUUCCGUCUUUUGAACUGCUAAAAGGUUGAGUUUUUACGUCUUUACUCUGCUAUUGAAACAAAACUAUUAAAAUUAUUUUAAAUAUCCUGAAAGUCUCAGACUCCUGAAAAUGUGUCCAUAGAUCCCUGCUUGAAAAACCUGCCCGAGUACCUGCUUUUCCUUGCAUUUGUUGGCAGAAGAUGAGCGUUUGACCUUUUACAAACUGCUCUGUAAAUAUCAUCAUUGCUUAGUUUGUGAAAGACUAAUGUGUUUCCACUAACAAAACUGUCUUUCCAGGGUUGCUGCUUUCUAGAAUAAUGCUUGUUUUCCUACUGGGCUUUCUGUUGCUGGUGUUUUUUUUAAAAGGCAACUAAAUUUGUCUAAGAGAUUGCACCUUGAGGCAAUCCAGGGACUCUUGAUGAAGAACUGAUGAGAAAGCCAAAGUUUCUGGUUGAAAAAAAAUAUGUGACAAAGUAGCAGAUCUCAAAAAUAUUAACCAAAUAGAUUCUCUAAUAUUUGAUACUUUAAACGCAAACUGUUUUCUAAACAAUAUUUGUAAGCAAAUGUUAAAAGUAUUUUUUUCCGGGAUUACUGCUUCUAUAUUAAACACAUAAUAUGA